UUAGCUCUCUUUGCCUUUUGGCUUAGAUCAAGUGUAGUAUCUGUUCUUUUCAGUUUAAUCUCUGAAAGUGAGUUCUCUACUGUUCUUAACUGUCAGUUGCAUGGAAUGCUAACAGCGACGCAGCGAGACUACGGUCUCAUUCAAGAUUAUUCCCAUUUUUGCACCUCGGCCUCCUCUCACUGGGCUUGCUCACAGUUGAGGUCACAGUGUCGCCAGUGUACGCAGCUGUUCAAUCCCAUUCACUCGGUUUUGCUAAUGUAC
rnacentral:snRNA from 1 species